rnacentral:lncRNA from 1 species
GAAUAGGUUUUUUUUUUUUUUUUUUUUUUAUAUAAAAAAAUCUGUAUUUUUAAAAAGCUACAGAUAGGCAUAUGGCUCCCAUGCUGAAUGAAAUCUUUUUGAUUUGAUAUUUUAAACUAGAUGCUCAUUUCCUUAAUUUUAAAAAAGAAAUGGAUAAUACUUUCCUUAAAUUUAUUUUUAAUUCAGGCAGGAUUUUUGAAUGAAAUUUCUUUAGCAAUGAUGAGAGUAAUUUCAUUCGACAGCAUAAUGAAAAAAUUCGAUUCCGACAAGUCAGUGGGAAAUGAGCUGCUCACGCUUAGUACUGUAUAUUCCUAUUCAUUUUUUAUAUAUAAAUUAAAACUAGUUACAUCAUUAGUUACACUGUUUGCAGGUAGAGUGCACUACUUGCUGG